AUGCCAUAAUGAGGGUAUUUGCGCAAAAACUCCUUAAAUCGUUCCCAUGCCUCAUAUAAAUAUUCUUCAUCAAGUUGCUGAAAUGAAGUAAUUUCGUUGCGGAGCUU